UCCAUGCUUGCAGUUAAGUGGCUUGGAACAAAAAUCCUGUUUACACAGACAUCUAAGGGAAAAUCAGACACUGUUUCUGUAAAAACAUGCAAAUCAACAAUUUUGAAAUUCUUUUCUUAUUAAAAUGUAUACUAUAUAGAUUUUAUUUGUAUAUUAAAAUGUAUAUUGACUCCCAAGAGGUUUAUCGACUAAAACUGAGACAGACAAGAUAAUUUUUAGAAAGCAUUAAAUGCAGAGGAGGCUAGUUUGGAGAUUUUUCCAGUUUAUUUUAGCAUUAUCUAAAAAUCACUUGUCAUCUUUUCACAAUUUCUAUUUUAGUGAAUAAUUUGCUAUAUCAUUGAACCAGAUUAUUCUUGAUCAAGAGGUUUCCG